rnacentral:misc_RNA from 1 species
AUCAUCACUCAGUUGUGAAGCACUAGCUUGUUGGACCAAGAAGAAGUACAAUCGAAGUUGUUUUGAAACAAGCCGAAGAAAAGAAAGAAGGAUUGAAAAAAUGAACAUGACAAUCUCUUCCACAGUUUGCUCUACAAUCCUCAUGUUACCCAAAUCAACAACGCUUAAGCCUCCCAAUUCUCAGAUUCAGCCGCCCCGAAUUGGCUGUGGUU